rnacentral:misc_RNA from 1 species
GUAGGUGAACCUGCGGAAGGAUCAUUAUUGAAUAUUCCUGAUGAGUUGUAGCUGGCUCUUUGGAGCAUGUGCACGCUUGUCUUGAUCUUAUUCAUCCACCUGUGCACAUUUUGUAGUCUUUUGGGCUGAGUCGAGUAUCGGAUGGAUGUCUAUCCGGAUGUGAGGACUGCUGAGUGCGAAAGCAUACGGCUCUUCUCUGUUUGACCUCACCCUUGAGUACUAUGUAUUCAUAUACCACAUAGUAUGUUGU